rnacentral:rRNA from 1 species
GAUCAUGGCUCAGGAUGAACGCUAGCGACAGGCUUAACACAUGCAAGUCGAGGGGCAUCACGGGAGUAGCAAUACAACUGGUGGCGACCGGCGCACGGGUGAGUAACGCGUAUGCAACCUACCUAUCAGAGGGGAAUAACCCGGCGAAAGUCGGACUAAUACCGCAUAAAACAGGGGCACCGCAUGGUGAUAUUUGUUAAAGAAAUUCGCUGAUAGAUGGGCAUGCGUUCCAUUAGGUAGUUGGUGAGGUAACGGCUCACCAAGCCGACGAUGGAUAGGGGAACUGAGAGGUUGGUCCCCCACACUGGUACUGAGACACGGACCAGACUCCUACGGGAGGCAGCAGUGAGGAAUAUUGGUCAAUGGGCGGGAGCCUGAACCAGCCAAGUCGCGUGAAGGAAGAAGGAUCUAUGGUUCGUAAACUUCUUUUGCAGGGGAAUAAAGUGCAGGACGUGUCCUGUUUUGUAUGUACCCUGAGAAUAAGGAUCGGCUAACUCCGUGCCAGCCGCCGC